rnacentral:rRNA from 1 species
AGUGAACGCUGGCGGUAGGCCUAACACAUGCAAGUCGAACGGCAGCACAGUAAGAGCUUGCUCUUACGGGUGGCGAGUGGCGGACGGGUGAGGAAUACAUCGGAAUCUACUUUUUCGUGGGGGAUAACGUAGGGAAACUUACGCUAAUACCGCAUACGACCUACGGGUGAAAGCAUGGGAUCUUCGGAUCUUGCGCGAUUGAAUUAGCCGAUGUCGGAUUAGCUAGUUGGCGGGGUAAAGGCCCACCAAGGCGACGAUCCGUAGCUGGUCUGAGAGGAUGAUAAGCCACACUGGAACUGAGACACGGUCCAGACUCCUACGGGAGGCAGCAGUGGGGAAUAUUGGACAAUGGGCGCAAGCCUGAUCCAGCCAUACCGAGUGGGUGAAGAAGGCCUUCGGGUUGUAAAGCCCUUUUGUUGGGAAAGAAAAGCAGCAGGUUAAUACCACGCUGUUCUGACGGUACCCAAAGAAUAAGCACCGGCUAACUUCGUG